rfam:Ovis aries breed Texel chromosome 7, whole genome shotgun sequence.
UCUCUGGUGGCUCAGAUGGUAAAGAAUCCACUUGCAAUGUGGGAGACCUGGGUUCGAUCCCUGGCUUGGGAA